UACUAUUGAUUGGCCUCCAAGCAACAGGGAUAUUUUAGUAUUUUAGGCGGUUUAUAGAAGCUUCUUGAGGUUAAGGAGGGCGGCAUCCUUUAGGAAGGCGCGCCUAAACCCAAUAACCCUUCUGAAAAGCUUUUAGGCCCUUACAGAGGGCGUUUAAGUCCUUCUAAAGUGCUUAUAAGCUUUGAGGAAUAUUAUGACGGUCCACAUAUACAAACUCAAAUGCCAACC
rnacentral:lncRNA from 1 species